UUUGAUCCUGGCUCAGGAUGAACGCUAGCGGGAGGCCUAACACAUGCAAGCCGAGCGGUAUUUGUCUUUCGGGACAGAGAGAGCGGCGUACGGGUGCGGAACACGUGUGCAACCUGCCUUUAUCAGGGAGAUAGCCUUUCGAAAGGAAGAUUAAUAUCCCAUAAUAUAAUGAAUGGCAUCAUUUAUUAUUGAAAGCUCCGGCGGAUAGAGAUGGGCACGCGCAAGAUUAGAUAGUUGGUGAGGUAACGGCUCACCAAGUCAGUGAUCUUUAGGGGGCCUGAGAGGGUGAUCCCCCACACUGGUACUGAGACACGGACCAGACUCCUACGGGAGGCAGCAGUGAGGAAUAUUGGACAAUGGGUGAGAGCCUGAUCCAGCCAUCCCGCGUGAAGGACGACGGUUCUAUGGAUUGUAAACUUCUUUUAUACUGGGAUAAACCUACCCUCGUGAGGGUAGCUGAAGGUACAGUAUGAAUAAGCACCGGCUAACUCCGUG
rnacentral:rRNA from 1 species